UCGUGGGUCCCCGGGUCCUAGAUGACCCCCAGCCUAGGAUUCCAGGGAGCAGGCUGGGCCCACAGCGCGUCCCUGGCGUGCGCGGCAGCGGUUAGGUUUACCUUCCUGAGGCCAGUGGCUUUUUUCUCUGACAUGCCUUAGCGGCAGCCCGGGACACGCAGUGGCAGUGGCGGGCACAGGAGCCUCGACCCUGCCUCGUUCUCAGCUCUCUGCCAGACUGCUGGCCUCACCCCCCAUCUCCACCUGGCCAGGAGCAGGUACGGUCAGGUUAGCUGCUCCAUCGCGGACGCCAGGGGCGUGGUAGGAAUUCUGGGCCGCGGGCCAUUCAAGGUCAGGGGCGCACGCUUCCAUCCUGGGCCUCCCCGGCUCCAGGCCUCCGCCUGGCCAGGGACUCCGACAUUCUCUUGCAAGGCUGGGGUGCCUCUAGCCCCAACCCAGGGAACA
rnacentral:lncRNA from 1 species